GGAAUAUUGGACAAUGGGCGAAAGCCUGAUCCAGCCAUGCCGCGUGUGUGAAGAAGGUCUUCGGAUUGUAAAGCACUUUAAGUUGGGAGGAAGGGUAGUAACUUAAUACGUUGCUAUUUUGACGUUACCGACAGAAUAAGCACCGGCUAACUUCGUGCCAGCAGCCGCGGUAAUACGAAGGGUGCAAGAGUUAAUCGGAAUUACGGGGCGUAAAGCGCGCGUAGGUGGUUCAGUAAGUUGGAUGUGAAAUCCCCGGGCUCAACCUGGGAACUGCAUCCAAAACUGCUGAACUAGAGUACGGUAGAGGGUGGUGGAAUUCCCGGUGUAGCAGUGAAAUGCGUAGAGAUCGGGAGGAACAUCUGUGGCGAAGGCGGCCACCUGGACCAGCACUGACACUGAGGCACGAAAGCGUGGGGAGCAAAC
rnacentral:rRNA from 1 species